rnacentral:rRNA from 1 species
ACUCCUACGGGAGGCAGCAGUAGGGAAUCUUCCGCAAUGGACGAAAGUCUGACGGAGCAACGCCGCGUGAACGAUGAAGGCCUUCGGGUCGUAAAGUUCUGUUGUUAGGGAAGAACAAGUAUCGGAGUAACUGCCGGUACCUAGACGUACCUAACCAGAAAGCCACGCAACACG